GUUUUUAAGAGUUUUG
rnacentral:sRNA from 1 species